GUGGGUGUAGCUCAGUUGGUAGAGCGCCGGAUUGUGACUCCGGUUGUCGAGGGUUCAACUCCCUUCACUCACCCCA
rnacentral:tRNA from 1 species